GACGAACGCUGGCGGCGUGCCUAAUACAUGCAAGUAGAACGCUGAAGGAGGAGCUUGCUUCUCUGGAUGAGUUGCGAACGGGUGAGUAACGCGUAGGUAACCUGCCUGGUAGCGGGGGAUAACUAUUGGAAACGAUAGCUAAUACCGCAUAAGAGUAGAUGUUGCAUGACAUUUGCUUAAAAGGUGCAAUUGCAUCACUACCAGAUGGACCUGCGUUGUAUUAGCUAGUUGGUGAGGUAACGGCUCACCAAGGCAACGAUACAUAGCCGACCUGAGAGGGGGAUCGGCCACCCUGGGACUGAGACACGGCCCAGACUCCUACGGGAGGCAGCAGUAGGGAAUCUUCGGCAAUGGACGGAAGUCUGACCGAGCAACGCCGCGUGAGUGAAGAAGGUUUUCGGAUCGUAAAGCUCUGUUGUAAGAGAAGAACGAGUGUGAGAGUGGAAAGUUCACACUGUGACGGUAUCUUACCAGAAAGGGACGGCUAACUACGUG
rnacentral:rRNA from 1 species